GGGGAAUAUUGCACAAUGGGCGAAAGCCUGAUGCAGCAACGCCGCGUGCGGGAUGACGGCCUUCGGGUUGUAAACCGCUUUCAGCAGGGACGAAGGGUUUCUGACGGUACCUGCAGAAGAAGCACCGGCUAACUACGUGCCAGCAGCCGCGGUGAUACGUAGGGUGCGAGCGUUGUCCGGAAUUAUUGGGCGUAAAGAGCUCGUAGGCGGUCUGUUGCGUCGGAAGUGAAAACUCAGGGCUUAACCCUGAGCCUGCUUUCGAUACGGGCAGACUAGAGGAAGGUAGGGGAGAACGGAAUUCCUGGUGGAGCGGUGGAAUGCGCAGAUAUCAGGAGGAACACCGGUGGCGAAGGCGGUUCUCUGGACCUUUCCUGACGCUGAGGAGCGAAAGCGUGGGGAGCAAACA
rnacentral:rRNA from 1 species